UGCAUCAGAAGUAGAGUUUGCACUUUGGGAUGAGGUAGUAGGUUGUAUAGUUUUAGGGUCACACCCACACUGGGAGAUAACUAUACAAUCUACUGUCUUUCCUAAGGUAGCAGAAUAUCUUCCGCAGCAAA
rnacentral:pre_miRNA from 17 species